rnacentral:misc_RNA from 1 species
GAAAUGCGAUAAGUAGUGUGAAUUGCAGAAUUCAGUGAAUCAUCGAAUCUUUGAACGCACAUUGCGCCCCUUGGUAUUCCAUGGGGCAUGCCUGUUCGAGCGUCAUUUGUACCCUCAAGCUCUGCUUGGUGUUGGGUGUUUGUCCCGUCUCCGCGCGUGGACUCGCCCCAAAGUGAUUGGCAGCCGGCGUACUGGUCCCGGAGCGCAGCACAUGUCGCGCAAACGAGUGCCUUGGUACGGCGGCGUCCAUAAGCCCCUCUCUCUCGCUCUUGACCUCGGAUCAGGUAGGGAUACCCGCUGAACUUAAGC